AUUUUAUGGUAAAAAGAAAAAAAAAAACUUAGUAUUACAUAGUUGUUUAUAGAUUUAUGAAGUCCCGAGUCCCUCUACAGGCUAUUAUAUAUAUAUUAAUGUAUAGUCUCAAGUCCCAAUUUCAUUGCAUAAGAAAAACCCAAUAGGCUUCUACCAAGGGGCUCGGUAAUUUAUUUCAAGAGGUAAUCCUGUUGUAAUAAAUUAUUGAAUUUCAAAGCAGACAAACUUACCAUCUAAACAAUUUCAAACCUCUUCUUCCCUUGAGAUGGAAAAUACAAGAAAAAAACAUAGAGGAAUAACAAGAAAAGCAGCAACCUUUAGCAAGUCCUCAGUCUCCUUUGAGAUCACUCCAAUCCUUGACCAAUCUCCACUAUACCCAGCGUCAAUGAAGCCUAAUCCAGACACAGCAAUUGCUGAUUGAGCCAAAAAUUUACUAGAAAGUCUGAGUGGAAAAAUGGGUUCUUGUUGGGUUGUUGAAUUCUGAGAGAAAUCCCUCUUCUUAGCUAAAGUGGUAGCAUUUCUUCUGCAAUUUUUGUUUGGACGAUAGAGAUUAGGAGAAGAAAGAUUGUUAAAGAAAAAGCUUCUUUCUAUGGCUACCAUUUUCUUUCAGUUAUCUCUGG
rnacentral:misc_RNA from 1 species